rnacentral:rRNA from 1 species
CACGCCCUAAACGAUGCGAACUGGAUGUUGGUCUCAACUCGGAGAUCAGUGUCGAAGCUAACGCGUUAAGUUCGCCGCCUGGGGANACGCGAAAAACCUUACCCACUUUUGACAUGUACGGAAGUUGCCAGAGAUGGCUUCGUGCUCGAAAGAGAACCGUAACACAGGUGC